AUUGAACGCUGGCGGCAGGCCUAACACAUGCAAGUCGAGCGGAAGCAGGGGGCUUGCUGGUGGAUUCAGGGGCGGACGGGUGGGACAUGCCUAGGGGUCUGCCUUGAAGUGGGGGAUAACGUCCGAAUACGGGCGCUAAUACCGCAUACGACCUGAGGGCGCAGUUGGGGAUGUUCGGGCUUCACGCUAUCAGAUGUGCGUAGGUCGGAUUCGAUAGUUGGUGGGGUAAAGGGCUACCAAGGCGACGAUCGGUAACUUGUCUGAGAGGAUGAUCAGUCACACUGGAAGUGAGACACGGUCCAGACUCCGACGGGAGGCCGCAGUGCGGAAUAUUGGGCGAUGCGGGAAUGCCUGAUCUAGCCAUGCCGCGUGUGUGAUGAAGGUCUUCGGAUGGUAAAGCGCUUUAAGUUGGGGGGAAGGGAAGUACGUUAAUACGUGGCUGUAUUGACGGUACCGACAGAAUAAGCACCGGCUAACUUCGUG
rnacentral:rRNA from 1 species